AUGUAGGCCCUGAGGCGCUUAGGCUAUGGCCCCAUUGACGGUCAGUCCUACGGCCGCUACUACAGGCCUGGGGUUGGAGACGUGCCAGAGCACCCACCUCCACCCUUAUACCCUCUUCAUCUCGAACCUCCCCAGCCUCCCAUUUCCUGGCGGGUGCGUGGGGGGCGGCCCAGUGGAGACCACCUGGUUGGGAGAAGGUGGAGGAGGCGAUGGGUACUAUCCCUCUGGAGGCGCCUGGCCAGAGCCUGGUCGAGCCGGAGGAAGCCACCAGUUUAAAUUCUUAUACAAAUGGGCCAUAUGGUCCAACUUACCCCCCAGGCUCUGGGGCAAAUACUGCCUCAUACUUAGGGGCUUAAUGCACCUGGUUAUACUCAGACCUGUUACUCCACAGAAGUUACAAAUACUUACUGUUCACCUGGCAACAGCCCAACUCCAGUCUCUCAUUGAGUCUAUUCUCGGCAGGGCUGUCAGACUGAAGUACCCUCUCUUAGGCGGCAGGUUGCAGGGUAUCCGGCUUCACAGAACCCUGGAAUGACCCUGCCCCAUUAUCGUUAUGGAGAUGGUAAUCGUAGUGUUCCACAAUCAGGACAAAUUGUACCACCACAAGAAGAUGCGUGGCCUUCUCCUGGUGCUUAUGGAAUGGGUGGCCAUUAUCCUUGGCCUUCAUCAGCGCCCUCAGCACCGCCUGGCAAUCUCUACAUGACCGGAGGUACUUCACCAUGGCCUAGCAGUGGCUCUCCUCAGUCACCCCCUACACCCCCACUGCAGCAGCCCAAGGAUUCUUCACACCCCUGCAGCCAAUCAGAUCAAAGCAUGAACCGGCACAACUUCCCUUGCAGUGUCCAUCAGUAUGAAUCCUUGGGGACAGUGAACAAGAAUGAUUCAGAUCUUUUGGAUUCCCAAGUCCAGUAUAGCGCUGAGCCUCAGCUGUAUGGUAAUGCCACCAGUGACCAUCCCAACAGUCAAGAUUAAAGUAGCAGUCUUCCUGAAGAAUGUGUACCUUCAGAUGAAAGUAAUCCUCCGAGUAUUACAAAACCAUGCAUGUGCUGGAGAAGGUCCAGUAUCUUGAACAAGAAGUAGAAGAAUUUGUAGGAAAAAAGAUAGACUAAGCAUACUGGCUUCUGGAAGAAACGCUAACCAAGAAACUUUUGGAACUGGAUUCAGUUGAAACUGGGGACGAGGACUCUGUAUGGCAGGCCAGGAAAGAGGCUGUUUGUAAGAUUCAGGCCAUACUGGAAAAAUUAGGAAAAAAAAAAAAAAAGAUUAUGAAAGAAUUUAGAACAGAGUGGAAGCCUGUUACCAACUUGACCAAAGAACACUUGAUUUGGUUAAUUACCCUCUUUUUGAAAUGCCUGUUGAUGACAAGAAGCAAUACAUUCCAACUUUCCUUUGAUUUUAAACUUGAAAAACUGGCAAAGGAAUGGAAGAAUAUUUUAGUCAUGAGUUGUUUUCAGUUUUCAGAUGAAUGA